AUUGAACGCUGGCGGCAGGCCUAACACAUGCAAGUCGAGCGAGCGGCGGACGGGUGAGUAAUGUAUGGGGACUGCCCGAUAGAGGGGGAUAACUACUGGAAACGGUGGCUAAUACCGCAUACUGUCGGAUCACCCAGAGGGGAUUAGCUAGUAGGUAAGGUAAUGGCUUACCUAGGCGACGAUCCCUAGCUGGUCUGAGAGGAUGAUCAGCCACACUGGGACAGAGACACGGCCCAGACUCCUACGGAGGCAGCAGUGGGGAAUAUUGCACAAUGGGCGCAAGCCUGAUGCAGCCAUGCCGCGAGUAUGAAGAAGGCCCUAGGGUUGUAAAGUACUGUCAGUCGGGAGGCGUUACCGACAGAAGAAGCACCGGCUAACUCCGUGCCAGCCGCCGCGGUAAUAC
rnacentral:rRNA from 1 species